rnacentral:misc_RNA from 1 species
GCCCUAUAUUAUCAUUUUUUCAGUUUCGCUCCCAAUUUCUAAUAGCCAACUUGCUUUCGUAGUUUCCUAGCUCAACAGUAGAAACUAGAAAGUUUCCAAAUAGCUCUAGCUCCGCUUCAAACCUCCUCUUAUGUUUCUUAGCUCAACAGGUUUCUUCUUGUUGAUUUCUUAAUAAAGAAUCAGAGUGUAUAUUCCUCUCUCCAGUAUUAAUCCAGCGUUUGAAUCUAGGGUGAAGAAGUGAAUCAAGGAAUAUGAGUAAUAGUAUAGGACAUAAUUUAUUCCAAAAGAGUUUGAUUCGUCCGUCGGGUUUUGAACAUCGAAGCAAGCUCGAUUCUUCUGGCAUUCCUGCAAACUCUUUAUUACAAUCUGCCUCUGUGAGUCAAGGACCGCAGAUACGAAGGUCGCCGAUAUCCUCUAGUUUUUAUGGAAAAAAUUUGAGAGUGCAGAAAUCAAAAUUAGCCGUUGGAAAUCGUCGUCCAGCUAUUGUCACUCCACGGGCUGUAUUAGCUAUGGAUCCGGCAUCUGAGCUUCUAGGAAAAUUCAGCCUUGAUGGAAAUGUUGAAUUGCAGGUUUUUGUUAGCAAUCACACUUCUGUUUCAACUGUGCAAGUACACAUUCAGAUAACAUAUAGUAGUGAUUCUUUGCUCCUACACUGGGGUGGGAUACGUGAUAGAAAGGCAAAGUGGGUGCUUCCUUUGCGUUGCCCAGAUGGAACAAAAAAUUAUAAGAACAGAGCCCUUAGAAGUCCUUUUGUGAAGUCUGGCACCAGUUCUUACCUCAAAAUAGAGAUCGAUGAUCCUGCAAUACAAGCCUUAGAGUUUCUUAUACUUGAUGAAGCGCGGAAUAAAUGGCUUAAAAAUAAGGGUGAUAACUUUCAUGUUAAGUUACCUGCGCGACAGAAGUUGAUAAUUCCAAAUAUCUCAGUUCCUGAAGAGCUUGUACAAAUUCAAGCAUAUCUGAGGUGGGAAAGAAAGGGUAAACAAAUGUAUACCCCAGAACAAGAAAAGGAAGAAUAUGAAGCUGCUCGUAUCGAGCUAUUGGAGGAAGUAACCAAGGGUAUUUCUGUUGAGGACCUCCGAGCAAGGCUGACAAACAAAAAUGAUAGAUAUGAAAUUAAGGAGCCAGCUGUGUCUAAAACAAAAAGCAAGAUACCUGAUGAUCUCAUACAGGUUCAAGCUUAUAUAAGAUGGGAAAAAGCAGGUAAACCCAAUUAUUCUCCAGAGCAGCAACAGGUAACUUUACUUUCUCCUUUUGCUUGGUUAGUUUCUGUAAUGUUUUCCUUUUAAGGGCUCAUGCUGGAGAAAUGAACAUUAACAGUUGCUUAUUUGUAAUUUAUUAGUGAUGAGGUUGUUAUUCAUUACUUAUAUUUGACAUUCUUUGUUGUAAUUUUGUAUAUAUAGAGGGAAUUUGAGGAAGCAAGAGAAGAAUUGCAGAAAGAACUGGAAAGAGGUGUAUCUCUCGAUGACUUGCGUAAGAAGAUCACUAAAGGAGAGAUCCAAAGCAAGGUUUCAAAGCAGCUGGAGAAAAAAGGAUAUUUUAGUAUUGAAAGGAUUCAGCGUAAAAAGAGGGACUUAGCACAGCUUGUCACCAAAUAUGCUGCUAAAUAUGCCGAGGAAGAUGUUUCAGUAGAACCAAAACUAAAGGCCUUGAAGGCAGUUGAACUUUUUGCUAAAGAAAAGGAAGAACAGGCUGGUGAUGCUGUUCUGAACAAAAAGAUCUUUAAGCUCCAUGACGGACAACUGCUGGUGCUUGUGACCAAGGCUGCUGGUAAGACGAAGAUUUAUGUUGCCACUGAUUUCGAAGAGCCGGUCACUCUUCACUGGGCGUUAUCUAGAAAGGGUAGAGAGUGGUUGGCACCGCCACUGACUGUGUUGCCUCCUGGUUCAGUUGCUCUGAGCGAGGCUGCUGAAACACAACUUAAAAGCAUUUCUUCUACUGAACUUUCUUAUCAGGUCCAAUCCUUUGAAAUGGAGAUCGAAGAAGAUAAUAUUGUAGGGAUGCCCUUUGUGCUUUUGUAUGAUGGAAAGUGGAUAAAGAAUAAUGGCUCAGACUUUUAUGUUGAAUUUAGUGGCGAACCUAAGCCAUUCCAAAAGGAUGCUGGUGAUGGAAGAGGUACAGCUAAAGUUUUAUUGGAUAGAAUUGCAGAGCUGGAGAGUGAAGCACAGAAGUCCUUCAUGCAUCGAUUUAAUAUUGCAGCUGAUUUGAUGGAGCAAGCAAAGGAUGCUGGAGAGUUGGGUCUUGCAGGAGUCUUGGUGUGGAUGAGAUUUAUGGCCACGAGGCAACUUAUUUGGAACAAAAACUACAAUGUCAAACCACGUGAGAUCAGCAAGGCACAGGAUAGGCUGACAGACUUGCUCCAGAAUAUAUAUACAAGUCAUCCACAGUAUCGAGAGCUUUUGCGGAUGAUUAUAUCUACUGUUGGCCGAGGUGGUGAAGGUGAUGUGGGACAGCGUAUUCGGGAUGAAAUCUUAGUUAUCCAGAGAAACAAUGAUUGCAAAGGUGGUAUGAUGGAGGAAUGGCAUCAAAAGCUGCAUAAUAACACAAGCCCUGAUGAUGUUGUAAUCUGCCAGGCGUUAAUUGAUCACAUUAAAAGUGACUUUGACAUCAGUGUGUACUGGAAAACUUUGAAUGAAAAUGGAAUAACGAAAGAACGACUUUUAAGUUAUGAUCGUGCCAUCCAUUCUGAACCAAACUUCAGGAGAGAUCAAAAGGAUGGUCUUUUGCGUGAUCUCGGAAACUAUAUGAGAACUUUAAAGGCAGUUCAUUCUGGUGCAGAUCUUGAGUCUGCUAUUGCAAAUUGUAUGGGCUAUAGAGCUGAGGGUCAAGGCUUCAUGGUUGGAGUGCAGAUAAAUCCCAUUUCAGGCUUGCCAUCUGGAUUUCCAGAAUUGCUUCAAUAUGUUCUCGAGCAUGUUGAAGAUAAAAAUGUUGAAGCGCUUCUUGAGGGUUUACUGGAGGCUCGGCAGGAGCUUAGGCCAUUGCUGUUUAAGUCUAAUAAUCGUCUGAAAGAUCUUCUAUUUUUGGAUAUUGCCCUUGAUUCUACUGUGAGGACAGCCAUUGAGAGAGGAUAUGAGGAAUUAAAUGAUGAUGGACCAGAGAAAAUUAUGUAUUUCAUCACCCUGGUUCUUGAAAAUCUUGCACUUUCGUCAGAUGAUAAUGAAGAUUUUAUCUAUUGCUUGAAGGGAUGGAAUCAUGCCCUAAGUAUGUCCAAAAGUAAACGCAAUCACUGGGCAUUAUAUGCGAAAUCAGUCCUCGACAGAACUCGCCUUGCCCUUGCGAGCAAGGCUGAAUGGUAUCAGCAAGUUUUGCAACCAUCAGCAGAGUAUCUUGGAUCACUGCUUGGAGUGGAUCAGUGGGCUGUGAACAUAUUCACUGAAGAAAUUGUUCGUGCUGGAUCAGCUGCAGCUUUGUCCAUGCUUCUUAAUCGACUUGAUCCAGUACUUCGGAAGACUGCUCAUCUUGGAAGUUGGCAGGUUAUUAGCCCAGUUGAAGCUGCUGGGUAUAUUGUUGUGGUGGAUGAGUUGCUCACAGUACAGAACUUAUCUUAUGACCGCCCUACAAUUUUAGUGGCAAGAAGAGUAAGUGGAGAAGAAGAAAUUCCAGAUGGUACAGUUGCUGUGCUGACACCUGACAUGCCAGAUGUUCUAUCCCAUGUUUCUGUGCGAGCAAGAAAUAGCAAGGUUUGCUUUGCCACAUGCUUUGAUCACAACAUUCUGGAUAAUCUCCGAGCAAAUGAAGGGAAAUUAAUGAAUCUGAAACCUACCUCAGCAGAUAUAGUCUAUAGUGAGCUAAAGAAGGGCGCGCUAGCAGAUUCAAGUUCAAAUAACUUGAAAGAAGUUGGUCCUUCACCUAUAAAGUUGAUCAGAAAGAAGUUCAGUGGUAGAUAUGCCAUAUCAUCGGAGGAGUUUACCAGUGAAAUGGUUGGUGCCAAAUCACGCAAUAUCUCACAUCUGAAAGGAAAAGUACCAUCCUGGAUUGGGAUUCCUACAUCAGUUGCCUUACCAUUUGGAGUUUUUGAGAAGGUUCUUUCAGAUGGUUCAAAUCAACAAGUGGCUAUGAAUUUGAAAGUGUUGAAGAAAAAGUUGGAACAAGGAGAGUUUAGUCAGCUCAGGAAAAUUCGCAAGACAGUUUUACAGCUGGCAGCACCCCCACAGUUGGUGCAAGAGCUGAAGACCAAGAUGAAAAGUUCUGGGAUGCCUUGGCCUGGUGAUGAAGGUGAACAGCGAUGGGAGCAAGCAUGGAUGGCUAUAAAGAAGGUCUGGGCUUCAAAGUGGAACGAGAGAGCGUACCUCAGCACAAGGAAAGUGAAGUUAGACCAUGAUUACCUCUGCAUGGCUGUCCUGGUUCAGGAGAUAAUAAAUGCUGAUUAUGCAUUUGUUAUCCACACAAUCAAUCCAUCUUCGGGGGACUCAUCAGAGAUAUAUGCUGAGGUAGUGAAGGGACUUGGAGAAACUCUAGUUGGAGCCUACCCUGGCCGCGCUUUGAGUUUUAUCUGCAAGAAAAAAGAUCUGAAUUCUCCUCAGGUGUUGGGUUAUCCAAGCAAAUCCAGUGGCCUCUUUAUAAGACGUUCUAUUAUCUUCAGAUCUGACUCUAAUGGUGAAGAUCUGGAAGGUUAUGCUGGUGCUGGCCUUUAUGAUAGUGUUCCAAUGGAUGAAGAAGAGAAAGUUGUGCUUGAUUACUCAUCUGAUCGAUUGAUCACCGAUGAAAACUUCCAAAAAUCAAUCCUCUCUAACAUUGCUCGCGCAGGAAGUGCAAUUGAAGAGCUCUACGGAUCUGCACAAGACAUUGAAGGUGUGAUAAGGGACGGUAAACUCUAUGUGGUCCAGACAAGACCCCAGAUGUAGUUUCCAUAUAUUUAUUUUCUUUGCCUUAUUUUUCCCCAUCGAAUUUUGCUAAUUAAUUGGAAUUGUGCACAACGGCAAAUUAAAAUAGGGGACAUAAUAUAUAUGAAUAAGCAACAACUGUAAAAGAUUUAAUAAAUUAGAAUUUGAGCUAGACCUAAUUCAUAUUUAAU